GGCGCCUGCAUGGGAUGCGGGAAAUGUCCAACAAGGACGUUGAACCUGAGGCCAGCCGGCACAGACAGAAGGAGCCUAGGACCUUGAUGCCUUCACCAAGAUGCUAACCCCAGGCCUUCAGAGUGUUUAAGUCAGAUUGAGGAGAAUAAAGGAAGCCUCUGUGCCUCCCAGGCGGGAUCAGAUUCCAGACUGUUUGUAA